AUCAUUGUUGCUUUCUGUGAGA
rnacentral:siRNA from 1 species